GGUCCCAUAACUCAGUUGGUUAGAGUGUCGUACUAAUACUAUGACUAAUUCAUCACGUUGUAAGAUUGGUAAUGCGAAAGUCGUGAGUUCGAGCCUCACUGGGACCA
rnacentral:tRNA from 1 species